GACGAACGCUGGCGGCGUGCUUAACACAUGCAAGUCGAACGGCAAGGCCCUGCUUUUGUGGGGUGCUCGAGUGGCGAACGGGUGAGUAACACGUGAGUAACCUGCCCUUGACUUUGGGAUAACUUAAGGAAACUGGGGCUAAUACCGGAUAGGAGCUCCUGCUGCAUGGUGGGGGUUGGAAAGUUUCGGCUGUUGGGGAUGGACUCGCGGCUUAUCAGCUUGUUGGUGGGGUAGUGGCUUACCAAGGCUUUGACGGGUAGCCGGCCUGAGAGGGUGACCGGGCACAAUGGGACUGAGAGACGGCGCAGACGCCUACGGUAGGCAGCAGUGGGGAAUAUUGCACAAUGGGCGGAAGCCUGAGGCAGCAACGCCGGGUGCGGGAUGACGGCCUUCGGGUUGUAAACCGCUUUCGCCUGUGACGAAGCGUGAGUGACGGUAAUGGGUAAAGAAGCACCGGCUAACUACGUG
rnacentral:rRNA from 1 species